rnacentral:rRNA from 1 species
CGGACGGGUGAGUAACGCGUGGGUAACCUGCCUCACACUGGGGGACAACAGUUAGAAAUGACUGCCAAUACCGCAUAAGCGCACAGGAUCGCAUGGUCCGGUGUGAAAAACUCCGGUGGUGUGAGAUGGACCCGCGUUUGAUUAGCUAGUUGGUGGGGUAACGGCCUACCAAGGCGACGAUCAAUAGCCGACCUGAGAGGGUGACCGGCCACAUUGGGACUGAGACACGGCCCAA